rnacentral:rRNA from 1 species
GACGAACGCUGGCGGCGUGCCUAAUACAUGCAAGUCGAACGCAAUGGGGACGGGUGAGUAACACGUGGGUAACCUCCCAUCAGAGGGGAUAACACUUGGAAACAGGUGCUAAACCGCUACUGAUGGAUGGACCCGCGGUGCAUUAUCUAGUUUGUGAGGUACCGGCUCACCAAGGCCACGAUGCAUAGCCGUACUGAUAGGGUGAUCGGCCACACGGGGACUGAGCCACGGCCCAGACUCCUACGGGAGGAAGGAGUGGGGAAUCUUCGGCAAUGGACGAAAGUCUGACCGAGCAACGCCGCGUGAGUGAAGAAGGUUUUCGGAUCGUAAAACUCUGUUGUUAGAGAAGCGGUAGCUAACCAGAAAGCCACGGCUAACUACGUGCCAGCAGCCGCGGUAAUAC